rnacentral:rRNA from 1 species
AUUGAACGCUGGCGGCAGGCCUAACACAUGCAAGUCGAGCGGAUGAAGGGAGCUUGCUCCUGGAUUCAGCGGCGGACGGGUGAGUAAUGCCUAGGAAUCUGCCUGGUAGUGUGGGAUAACGUCCGGAAACGGGCGCUAAUACCGCAUACGUCCUGAGGGAGAAAGUGGGGGAUCUUCGGACCUCACGCUAUCAGAUGAGCCUAGGUCGGAUUAGCUAGUUGGUGGGGUAAAGGCCUACCAAGGCGACGAUCCGUAACUGGUCUGAGAGGAUGAUCAGUCACACUGGAACUGAGACAGGGUCCAUACUCCUACGGUAGGCAGCAGUGGGGAAUAUUGGACAAUGGGCGAAAGCCUGAUCCAGCCAUGCCGCGUGUGUGAAGAAGGUCUUCGGAUUGUAAAGCACUUUAAGUUGUGAGGAAGGGCAGUAAGUUAAUACCUUGCUGUUUUGACGUUACCAACAGAAUAAGCACCGGCUAACUUCGUG